rnacentral:rRNA from 1 species
AUUGAACGCUGGCGGCAGGCCUAACACAUGCAAGUCGAACGGUAACAGGAAGAAGCUUGCUUCUUUGCUGACGAGUGGUGGACGGGUGAGUAAUGUCUGGGAAACUGCCUGAUGGAGGGGGAUAACUACUGGGAACGGUAGCUAAUACCGCAUAACGUCGCAAGACCAAAGAGGGGGACCUUCGGGCCUCUUGCCAUCGGAUGUGCCCAGAUGGGAUUAGCUAGUAGGUGGGGUAACGGCUCACCUAGGCGACGAUCCCUAGCUGGUCUGAGAGGAUGACCAGCCACACUGGAACUGAGACACGGUCCAGACUCCUACGGGAGGCAGCAGUGGGGAAUAUUGCACAAUGGGCGCAAGCCUGAUGCAGCCAUGCCGCGUGUAUGAAGAAGGCCUUCGGGUUGUAAAGUACUUUCAGCGGGGAGGAAGGGAGUAAAGUUAAUACCUUUGCUCAUUGACGUACCCGCAGAAG